CGUGACACCCGGAUAUGUACACCACGUGACCGUUAGCGUUUACAUAUAACACAUAUUGUAUGAGCGGAGGUACUUCUGUCGGGAUUUAGUAAACGAUAUAUUACACAGUCAACGCUUUAAGAAUCUAGCCAUGGCCAGUGUUGUGGUCGAAAUUGAAUACUGUGGCGGAUGAGGCUACGCUCCUCGGUACGGGAAGCUGAGGAACUACCUCGCUUCCAAGACCGGGGCUGGCGUCAGCGGCAGGGUGGGGCGCAGGGGUUCGUUUGAAGUGACUGUGAACGGCAAGCUGGUGUUCUCUAAGUUGAAGGUCGGAUCAUUCCCCUACGACGAGGAUAUUCUGGAGGCGGUCAAUCAAGCCAAGCAAGGCAUGCCGCCCAAAACCAUCACAGAAGGUCAAGGUGGGAGCUGUGUCAUUCUGUAGACACAUGUGACAUUCAGAACACACCGGUCGUCAAAGAAACUCUGUGUCUACGCCCGAGCUGCUGCCCGAAUGAUGGCCUGUUCAGAAAUCUCCUUGCACUGGCUUAAUGUGCCGCGGAGCUCGGACCGAGGCACCGAUUCCUAUUUGAUGAUCGGAUCGCAAUGGACGUGUUUUGACAUUAUUUAUUAUUUAUAUUUUACUGCUGAAAUGAUACUCCACUCCAAUUAUUGAUAUUAUUUUUUCACAUCUUUCACUUCAUUGAACUUAAGCUACAACUAUGCAGUGUUCCAUCCGUAAAAUGAUAAUGUUAAAUAAACUGUUUUUACAUGGGUUAUUUGUCGAAAAGAUUUUUCUCCAUUACGAUACCUCUCUGUGGAAAAAUCUGGCAUCCCCUUCAUAGGACGUCGCUCCAGAUGAACUUUCUGAUGAAUCAAUUAGCACGGGGGCUUCUAUAUUCAGAACAGCAAUUUUGAUUUGUGUAUCUUCAAAACGAGCUUAAACGGCCAGUUCCGAAUGUACAUAAUAAAGGCCAAGUAUUUAUAUUGCAACAAUAGCGUGUUUCCAAUACCACCGAACAAAAUAAAUGUGGAUUCGCUGUCAAACUGA